rnacentral:ncRNA from 1 species
UUUAAAACGUUGAAGAGGAUAGUAGAGAACGGAUUUCCUUUCCAGAGAAAACCUCCAUGGCUGAGAGAGGUUGAAGUGAAGCUGUUCUUGAAUUGCACCUCCUGAGUCUUUUGCCGAACCGUUUCAGUAAGCAAAAGCGUUCGCUCCGCGUUAAGGAGCCUAAAGUUGAGGGCUGGUCUAAAGAAAUCGCCCUAAACAGAGUGGAACCGCGCAUAAAGGCGUCUCUGUC